CAACAACGAAAGGAGGUGACCCAGUGUCUUAUCUCAAGCGCUGUCACCUCGCUGGGAUCGCCCGCUGAGCCGUGACUGGCUUGGCAUCGGGGCGCUCUCAGCCCUGGACCAGCGAGACAAUGAUGGGGCGCGGCGGAAGCCAUUCCGCCGCGCC
rnacentral:sRNA from 1 species